rnacentral:sRNA from 1 species
CCCGUUAAAGCUAACUAACUUCUUAUUUAGGCUUCUCAUUUCAAGUUAUUUUGGACUGAAAAUAUUUUUGCUAUUUCUUAAAUAUCAACAUAACCAUUAAUUUAUAUCUACCGCAAAUUCCUUUCAAGCGUGAUAAACCGUAAUACUUUAUGUAAAAGUAACUUAAUUUU